rnacentral:rRNA from 1 species
CGGGGGGGGCAAGCGUUGUUCGGAAUUACUGGGCGUAAAGGGCUCGUAGGCGGCCAACUAAGUCGGACGUGAAAUCCCCAGGCUCAACUUGGGAACUGCGUCCGAUACUGAUUGGCUUGAAUCCGGGAGAGGGAUGCAGAAUUCCAGGUGUAGCGGUGAAAUGCGUAGAUAUCUGGAGGAAUACCGGUGGCGAAGGCGGCAUCCUGGACCGGCAUUGACGCUGAUGAGCGAAAGCUAGGGGAGCAGACGGGAUUAGAUACCCCGGUAGUCCUAGCCCUAAACGAUGAAUGCUUGGUGUGACGGGUAUCGAUCCCUGUCGUGCCGAAGCUAACGCAUUAAGCAUUCCGCCUGGGGAGUACGGUCGCAAGGCUG